UUGGUGAGCACUACCGCCAGCACCACAACCCCAGACACCAGGAACUCUGGUGAGUUCUGAGCGAAAGGAAAGGAAACUGAAGGAAGGAAUCUGUCUGCUGAUCUCAUUCAGAAAUCAACAAUUUAAUCUAUUCUUUCUAUCAUUUUGAGAUCAUGCUGCAAUUUGGUGGAGUGUAGGAGGUGUUGACAUCCGUGUCGUUAUCGGUGUCCUUAUCGUUAUCAUUAUCGUUGUCGCUGCCGGUAUCAUCGUAUGGAAGUGCAGAAAAAGGUUCAAAAGGUGCUGCCGAAGACGGGACGGGACGGGUCCUCAGAACGCUGCGUCUCCUGAUGGAAACGCCGGGAACGAGAUGAUUCCUCUUCAAGGUCAAGCAAAUGGAAAUGUCACUCAUGGGCCUGGAAAUGUCUAAGGGCAUGGAGUUGGACUCCCCUUCUCUAUUGUCAUCUUGUCUGCCCACAUCGGAGAAUGGAGGAUUUAGUGGCGGGGGUACGAUAUUAUCCUUCACUGCCAGCCCAUGGGUCAUUAAAUUAUGGAGACAACCUCCGAAUUUGAAAA